AUGAAAGUAACCAUACCGUAGACAGCAGGUGCCGCAAGGCAUAAGAUGAAAACGCCUGCCGAGGGAUAUAAGCAUGAUUGAUAUUUAUGCCUCCCGUUAUGUCUGCGGGAGGCAAUUUUUAUUCU
rnacentral:sRNA from 1 species